CUUGGUCAUUUAGAGGAAGUAAAAGUCGUAACAAGGUUUCCGUAGGUGAACCUGCGGAAGGAUCAUUAUCGAGUUAGGGUCCUCUGGGCCCCAUCUCCAACCCUUGUCUAUUCUACCACGUUGCUUUGGCGGGCCCGUCUCUAACCGGACCGUCGGGGACUCACGUCCCUGGCCCGUGCCCGUCAGUAGCCCCCACAAAUUCUUCAAACAGUGAUGUCUGAGUACAAAUAUAAUAACUAAAACUUUCAACAACGGAUCUCUUGGUUCUGGCAUCGAUGAAGAACGCAGCGAAAUGCGAUAAGUAAUGCGAAUUGCAGAAUUCCGUGAGUCAUCGAAUCUUUGAACGCACAUUGCGCCCUUUGGUAUUCCGAAGGGCAUGCCUGUUCGAGCGUCAUUAUCAACCCUCAAGCCCGGCUUGCUGUUGGGUCUCACCGUUGGAGAAACGGUGGGUCCAAAAGAUAAUGGCAGAGUCCGUAGGACCCUGGAUGCAGCGAGCUCUUAGCACGCGUCUAGAGGUCUCUCCGGCUCGGUCUUAACCAAUCUAUUUUUCAGGUUGACCUCGGAUCAGGUAGGGAUACCCGCUGAACUUAAGCAUAUCAAUAAGCGGAGGA
rnacentral:rRNA from 1 species